rnacentral:rRNA from 1 species
UACAGAGGUCUCAAGCGUUGUUCGGAUUCAUUGGGCGUAAAGGGCGCGUAGGCUGCGGGGCAAGUCGGGUGUGAAAUCUCAGAGCUCAACUCUGAAACUGCAUUCGAUACUGCCGUGCUUGAGGACUGGAGAGGAGACUGGAAUUUACGGUGUAGCGGUGAAAUGCGUAGAUAUCGUAAGGAAGACCAGUGGCGAAGGCGGGUCUCUGGACAGUUCCUGACGCUGAAGCCCGAAGGCCAGGGGAGCAAACGGG